UCAGGACUCAGCAUGGACAUGAGGGCCCCUGCUCAGCUCCUUGGGAUCCUGCUGCUCUGUCUUCCAAGUGCCAGAUGUGACAUCCAGAUGACCCAGUCUCCAUCCUCCCUGUCUGCAUCUCUGAGAGACAGAGUCACCAUCACUUGCCGGGCCAGUCAGGGCAUUAGCAGUAAUUUAAUCUGGUUACAGCAGAAAAUGGGAAAACCUCCUAAGCGCCUGAUUUCCCGUGCAUCCAACUUAGCAGAUGGGGUCCCAUCGAGGUUCAGUGGCAGAGGGUCUGGGACAGAUUAUUUUCUCAGCAUCGACAGCCUAGAGUCUGAAGAUAUGGCAGAUUAUUACUGUGGACAGGGUGCUCAGUUUCCUCCCACAGUGAUACAAGUCAUAACAUAAACCCCCAAGAACGCAGAAGUGAGAGGCUGGGCUGCCCCAGCUGCUCCUCCUCAUGAGUCACUCACUGAAACUGUUUCUCAGAUGUCACAAGAUUUUUAGCAAAGUUCACGGAGAGUCAAUGUGUUGAUAAAAGAGGCUAAACACCCCUCUCUGUACAUUAACUAUUAUUCUUCCCCUUCAUCUCCAGCACUACAGAGUACCAAUGCCUUUUCGGCCUUAAUA